UCGUGCAGUAAUCUGUCAGGUCAAUUCCACUAACGAACGAGACCUCAACCUGCUAGUUAGUAUUCUAGGCUUUGGCCUACAACUACUUCUUAGAGGGACUCUGUGUGCAAACACAAGGAAGCUUGAGGCAAUAACG
rnacentral:rRNA from 1 species